UCAAGGGUUCUCUAGAGCCAUCCAAACACUUCAUAUGCAAGAAUCCAAGUGAAACUAAAGAUCCACUUCAUCAAUCCACAAAACUAAGUGUGAGAAACACAUCAAAUCCAUUCAAGUCAAGAAAUUCCAUGGAAGGUGGAACUAGGGUUUUGUUCAAGUGAAGCAUUUCAACUCAAGGCCUAUUCCUACAAUAACUAAGAUCAAAGUUGAAAGGGUUGACGAACAUUGUAUUACGCUCAAAGGCUGGAAUUAAGGUAACGAUACACAGGUUGACGACUCAGCUAAUUAGGAGUGCACGUAUCAGCUACUGGUGAGCCCCACAUUCCUUCGGGGCGUUGUCAGCUAUCCAGUUAUUUCAGUUUAUAGACAGCUCUAUCAUUCAGUACUCUUAGAGGCUUCAUAGACAUAGUUCAGACAGUCAGAUAUUUAUUAUGUUAGCCUUGAUGGCAGUUGUUCAGUCGUUUUGGUUUAGCCAUGUUGGCUACUUUUAGAUAUAUGUUCAGAUUGUCUAUGUAUUUCCGCAUUAUGAUUUCAGUCAGACCUUUAGUAUAUCAACAUGUGUUUAGUUAUUCCACAUUUAGUUAUGUUUUGAUAUCACAUGUUGAUUCAGUCAGCCAGUUGGUUCGCUCGGUCACAUGCAGUCAGGCACCGGGUGCCGUGUUACGUCCAGG